rnacentral:lncRNA from 1 species
CAAUGGACUUGGGUUAUAAUUACCAACAGAGGAGAGAAUAACUAUAAGUUAUUUUUAUGUAAAAAGCAUAUUAUACUAAGCCAACAUAAUAACACAGUUUUUAUGAACCACAAUAAUUACACCGAAGAAUCACACAAGUACAUUUUCCUAAAAGAAGAAGGUAGGUGUUGAUAAGCUACUAUAGAAUUUUACAAUUGCAAUGAACAAAAAUAAUUGUCAUGGCAAAAUAAUAAAAGUACAUUAACUUUUGUUGCAAUGCUUGAGAGAGAUUAAAUAAUAAAAUUAAAGAAUACUUGUUAAAUGAUAAAAAGGUUUUACAUCAUGUUUAAUGUCUUUGUUUUGAAAUGACAUUUUUUUCACACAGAAAUUCUCUGUAUAUGCAAAGUUGUUUAUUGUCCUAUACUAGUGGUAUGUGGGAGAUCACUUUUGUUGCUAAAAACACUUUUCUAUAAUACUUUAGCAAAUUAAUAUAGGAGAAAAUUACUUUUAGGUGAGUAUAAAUUUAAAUAUCUACUUUAUAAAAUUCUAAUUAAGAUUUGAUCUCAAGCCACUAUGAUUUUAUCACUAUAUUUGAUUUUACAUUUGGAGCUUAUAGAAAAGUCAAAUCUUAUCACCAGUUAUUUAAUGUCUGCUAACUAAUUAAAGUAUAUUUUAUUAAUUCAUAUUUGAAUGAAAAUGGAAGACUGUUAAAAAAAGAACACAGGGUCAGGGCUAUGUCUUAUAGGAGCAAGCCACAAUACAGGGACAACAUGUAGAGAGAUAAGACUUCCUGUAAAGACUAUUUAUACGAACUCCUGGCUAUACACUGAUGGGCCAUAUUGAUCAUGAAGAUAACCACUGAUACAAAGUAGUCGAAUUUGCUGAGUAAUAAACAAGGAGUUUAAUAUAAGUAGGAAUAAAAAAAUAUUCUAUUUAAAUUUAAUUAUCAGUAAGACAUGAUAAUUACAUAAAGGAGAGCACUUUCUAAGGCAAUUUUGAAACCAUUAAAUGUAGAGAGGUCCUUGGAUAGAAUUUGGAAUAUGUAUAAAACACCUAAAAUAUCUCAGAAAACGGCUGAAUUGAAUGCAUUGAGAAUACCCGGGUAAGGCACUUGUCUGUUUUAGGAGUGCAUCGUGAGUGCAUCGUGAGUCUCCUGGGAGCUGAUACAAUGUAUUCAUUCUUCUGCCGGCUUUCAGGAGAAGGGUUUUGUCUGUCUGUACAUUGUUUCCCUAAUAUCUAUGCAAGUUGCCACAUUGAUUCUGCCUUCUAGUCCUUGCCUCUGCUGAAGAGGCCCUAUCCAAAAAGGUAAAAAAAUGGGGGCAACAUCCAUAGCUGGGGUGUGCAGUCUAAUUAGAGUGGAAACAUACCUUGACAAUAAUUAGUAUUCUUUUUUUUUCCCAAGAAAAAUAAGUUUAUUUAUUUAUUAUGAGACAGAGAGAGAGAGAGAGAGAGAGAGCGAGAGAGAGAGAGAGAGAGAGAAUGAGCAGGGGAGAGGAAGAGAGAGGGAGAGAGAGAGAAAAUCCCAGGCAGGCUCUGCACUGUCAGUACACAGCUCUCAAACUCAUGAACCACAAGACCAUGACCUGAGCCAAAAGCAAGAAUCGAAUGUUUAACCAACUGAGCCAACCAGGCACCCAUAAUAUUCCAUUUUUUAAGGUUUUUGUAUUUUUAUUUUUUUAAAAGUUUUUAAUGUUUAUUUGUUUUUGAGAGACAGAUCACGAGUGGGAGAGGGGCAGAGAAAGAGGAAGACAGAAUCUGUAACAGGCUCCAGGCUCCCAGCUGUCAGCACAGAGCUAGAUGCGGGCCCAAACCUACAAAUCGUGAGAUCAUGACCUGAGCCAAAGUCAGACACUUAACGAACUGAGCCACCCAGACGCCCCAAGGUUUUUGUACUUUUAAAUAGAAUCAACAUGAGGACAUACGGCACAUUACACUUUUACUGACUUAAUUAUUCUCAAUUCCCCACACCACUAGAUCAACAGAAAUAAUAACAUUAUAUAGAUAGCAAAACAGUAUCAUUUCAAGGAAGUAGACAUAAAGUCAAAGUAUGUUAAAGUAUCCAUAUACUGGUUUUACUGCUUGUACGGCUUCUAAAGUUUUCCAAAAGUGGAAGGACAACACUUAUUGAAGCAGAAAUGGUGAAGGAGAGUGAAACAUUUUGAAUCAUGUCUGUACCCCAAAAAGUGCCUGAUGAGUUAGUUAGUUAGUUAGUUAGUGAAACAUAUCACAUAAGAAAUACCACUGUGCCUUUGAUUCCAGGUAGUAUACUACAAAUAAUAACCCCAAUGCUUUCCACAUUUAUGAAACAGAAGUUAAUUAGGUCUUAAUUUAGUCAAUCUACAUUUCCAACCAUGAUUCCCUUUUAUUCUGAUUAUAUAAAUUUACUCUACCCCAUUUUACCCAUUUUCUCAUUUCAGAUUCAUUAAAAGCUUUGAACACAGGAGCCAACGUUCAUUUUCACAACUGGAAAUUCUUUAGAGAAACACAGUAUUACUUUAUUUUCUUGCUUCACCAGUAAUGCAACUGCCAUGCCAAUUUUAACAAAACAUCUUCCCUGUGACUGGGGGGGGAGGGGAGGGAAAAAUGCUCCUGAAUGAAAGACUAAGAAAAUUUGGUCAGAUGAUUAUUUUUGUGGAGCACAAUAUUUCUUUAACUACAAUCAAGAUUAUAAAUGAGUGUCACCACUUGAUGCCAAGAACUAAAACUAUUUUAAAUGCAUUUUCCUGAAA